rnacentral:rRNA from 1 species
CAUGACCUCAGAUCAGGCAAGACCACCCGCU